UUGCUGUAGUAUUUUGACUAUACAAAGGUAUUGUAAUAAGACUUUAAUUGAGUGCUAAAAGAAUGGAAUUACAAAAAAUUUCUUUCUUAAAUUUAAAAAUUGAAGUUAAUUUUUUUGUGAAGAAUCAAUAAUAUUAUUUAGGGACAAGAAGACCCUAAGAAUUUUUAAAUCUUUUAAUUAAAGCUUUAAUUAAAAGAUUUUUGAUUGGGGCGAUUGAUAAAUAUUACAAACUUUAUUUUUCUAAAAUAUGAACCAUUAUUAAUGGUAAUAUGAAAAAAAUACUCUAGGGAUAACAGCGUAAUAAUUUUUGAUAGUUCUUAUAGACAAAAUAGUUUGCGACCUCGAUGUUGGAUUAGGAUUCUUUUUUAAUGAAGAAGUUAAAAUAAGAAGUUUGUUCAACUUUUAAAGUCC
rnacentral:rRNA from 1 species